UACGUAGGGUGCGAGCGUUUAAUCGGAAUUACUGGGCGUAAAGCGUGCGCAGGCGGUUCGUUAUGUCCGAUGUGAAAGCCCCGAGCUCAACUUGGGAAUGGCAUUGGAAACUGGCGGGCUGGAGUGUGGCAGAGGGGGGUGGAAUUCCACGUGUAGCAGUGAAAUGCGUAGAGAUGUGGAGGAACACCGAUGGCGAAGGCAGCCCCCUGGGCCAACACUGACGCUCAGGCACGAAAGCGUGGGGAGCAAACAGG
rnacentral:rRNA from 1 species